rnacentral:rRNA from 1 species
AGAAUGAACGUUGGCGGCAUGGAUUAGGCAUGCAAGUCGCACGAAAAGUGGAGUAGCUUGCUACGAAACUGAAAGUGGCGAAAGGGAGAGUAACGCGUGGUUACAUACCUUCAGGACCAGGAUAGCGUUGGGAAACUGGCAGUAAUACUGGAUGAUAUCUACGGAUCAAAUGGUGUGAUUCCGCUAGAAGAUUGGACUGCUACUAUUAGCUUGGUUGGCGGGGUAAUCGGCCCACCAAGGCUGCGAGUGGUUACCGGGUGUGAGAGCAGUCGGCCCCGGCUCACGUGGGACUGGAGACACUCGCCCAGACAUCUACGG